UACGUAGGGGGCAAGCGUUGUCCGGAAUCAUUGGGCGUAAAGCGCGUGUCGGCGGUCCGGUAAGUCCGCUGUGAAAGUCGGGGGCUUAACCCUCGGAUGCCGGUGGAUACUGCCGGGCUUGAGUACGGAAGAGGCGAGUGGAAUUCCUGGUGUAGCGGUGAAAUGCGCAGAUAUCAGGAGGAACACCAAUUGCGAAGGCAGCUCGCUGGGACGUUACUGACGCUGAGACGCGAAAGCGUGGGGAGCAAACAGG
rnacentral:rRNA from 1 species